AGAGUUUGAUCCUGGCUCAGAUUGAACGCUGGCGGCAGGCUUAACACAUGCAAGUCGAACGAUGAAACUCUAGCUUGCUAGAGAUGAUUUGUGGCGGACGGGUGAGUAACAUUUAGGAAUCUGCCUAGUAGUGGGGGAUAGCUCGGGGAAACUCGAAUUAAUACCGCAUACGACCUACGGGUGAAAGGGGGCGCAAGCUCUUGCUAUUAGAUGAGCCUAAAUCAGAUUAGCUAGUUGGUGGGGUAAAGGCCCACCAAGGCGACGAUCUGUAACUGGUCUGAGAGGAUGAUCAGUCACACCGGAACUGAGACACGGUCCGGACUCCUACGGGAGGCAGCAGUGGGGAAUAUUGGACAAUGGGGGCAACCCUGAUCCAGCCAUGCCGCGUGUGUGAAGAAGGCCUUUUGGUUGUAAAGCACUUUAAGCAGGGAGGAGAGGCUAAUGGUUAAUACCCAUUAGAUUAGACGUUACCUGCAGAAUAAGCACCGGCUAACUCUGUGCCAGCAGCCGCGGUAAUACAGAGGGUGCGAGCGUUAAUCGGAAUUACUGGGCGUAAAGCGAGUGUAGGUGGCUCAUUAAGUCACAUGUGAAAUCCCCGGGCUUAACCUGGGAACUGCAUGUGAUACUGGUGGUGCUAGAAUAUGUGAGUGG
rnacentral:rRNA from 1 species